CAGCCGCCACGGGAAUACGUAGGUGGCAAGCGUUGUCCGGAAUUAUUGGGCGUAAAGGGCUCGCAGGCGGUUUCUUAAGUCCGAUGUGAAAGCCCCCGGCUCAACCGGGGAGGGUCAUUGGAAACUGGGAAACUUGAGUGCAGAAGAGGAGAGUGGAAUUCCACGUGUAGCGGUGAAAUGCGUAGAGAUGUGGAGGAACACCAGUGGCGAAGGCGACUCUCUGGUCUGUAACUGACGCUGAGGAGCGAAAGCGUGGGGAGCGAACAGGAUUAGAGACCCCCGUAGUCCCUGUCUCUUAUAA
rnacentral:rRNA from 1 species